AUUCACAUACAGACUCUUACUGUUUUCUGCUCUCAUCUUGCAAAGUGAAAGUGCCCAGCACAGGCAAUGGUGUUAGUACGUUGUAGUCAUUCACAAACUAGGGCUGCCCAGAAGAGAGACAGGCUGGGACUUUCGAGAGAAAAACAGCUGUGUUUCAUUUGAAUGCCUGGUGUGGGAAGAAGUAGGACAGCCUAGCUUCAUGGAACUUCCUUGCACCAGACAAAGCCUCCAGAUCCCUCCACAGUGCUCCAUUCAAUCCCUGUCCGUUGGUGGUGGACCAAAGAAGAAACCAAUUUGCCUUGGCCACAUGUCUUUGAGAAAAAAAGCCACUCUCCCUUCUGGGACUGAGAGCAUCUGUACCUGUAAUAUAAGAGGGGAAUGUGGAAAAUUCUAACUGGAUGAUCACUUUUCUGUGGAGGGAAAAACACAUUUUUUGUUUUGAGGGGCUAGCCAGCAUCAAACCGCCGAGCUGCCCUUCUCUCCCUGCUGCCCCCAGGGAGUGCCGCUGGUGUCCUCAGAUGCGGGCAGGAGGAACCCGCCAGCGCCUGAGAGCCUGGCCCGAACCGGGCCUGGAGGUGCUGGGGCAAAGACACAGAGGAUGUGGCCUCCAACCCCGGUAACAGACGGUUACCAGGGCGGCUUUGGGUGAGGAAAUUGAAAAAGGCCAGACUCCCUAGGAGCAGCGCCCUGGACUCCAUCCUGAUCACAAGAAAUCAGGAGGAGGUGCUGAUUGAUAGGAAAAAAGAAAGAUUUAGUUUAGAGCUGAGAAUUCAGCUGGACAGCCGUAGGGGCUCUGGCAUGGAGACUGGAAGUCAGAAGAGAAUUUGCAGCAAGACAUUUAGAGCGAUAAUCAAGACAAUGAGCUAACACAGAAGCCAUAGUGGACUUUCUCCAAUAUUUUAAGAAAGGUGAAAAAUAGAAGAAAUUUAACCUCUCAAAAAUGCUAUUCCCAUUAUCUAUGUACACAUGUGCAUCUCUGUCUGUCUCACAUGCAGUGAGACCUAAUUCUAACUGAUAUGCCGGUAGGAUGGGGGGACCUUGCCACAAGGUAUAAUUGUGGUGGGAUGGCUGUGUCUUGCUCCCGUUCAGGAUCAAAAAUGGAAAGCUCCUCCUUCUUCCUGUUCCCCUGGAUGCCAAGCGAUGGGCCUGAGACCCUGGCUUUGCCAUGUGGAUGCUCCGCCUCAGGACUUUGGAUGUGCAGUGAUUGCUACAAAAAGGGCAAUGAAGAUGCCUGGAGCACAGCCACACAGUCUCCAUCACAGCAGUGGUAUUCUGUGGAAUGAGUACUAAUUUUCUGGCCACAUUUUCUGUUAAAAACUGGUUGUUGAGCUGCCCACUUGUCUUGGUCAAGGGGUGCUGGAGUGGCCUGGGAAGGCAGUGUUGUUUGCAUGAAGCAAAGUCACACAGAAAGCUGGCAGGCGAGUAGUAGAAUCAGAGUAAUGACACUUUCCUAUUGGACCCUCUUUCCUACCCCAAAUAAUACUUAAUAAGUGUUUGUUUCAGAAGAGCCACUCUGAGCAUCUUUGGCUAUAAGGAGCAGAGUCACAUUCUAGCUCCCCUGGCACCUGCUUCACAGGAGCCCAUGUGAGAAGACCAGGUUCUGGUCAGGACAGGCAUACCUGAGAGCUGUUGGGGUCUAGUUAAAGGACUCACUUGUACAUGUACACGUUUCUCAGGAGUCCUGUCAACCACUGGGAAGAAAGAGGCUGGACUUCUGCAUUGAACCCAGGAACAGGGUUUCACAGCAAUGGAAACCCGGGGUUAAAUAUCAAUGGAACCUUACACGACUUGAAGAAUCUUUAAUACAAGCUAGGUUUUGACCCCAAAUUAGACAUUUGGCAGCCUCUCAUUGCAGUCUAUCUUGCAAACCUCAGUGUGGCAAGGAAUCAGAUUCACCCACACUCCCUAGUUUAAAGGAUUGUCCUCUGAUCGUUCCAGGUGGAUUAAGCCCUUUCUAAUCUGUCAUGGACAGAGCAAUGUACCUGCCUUUGUUUGUUUUCCUUAAUUCUUUCAAGUGCCUUUGGGUAAUAAAUGGUUAAGUACUCAG
rnacentral:lncRNA from 1 species